rnacentral:rRNA from 1 species
UCGCUCCUACCGAUUGAAUGGUCCGAUGAAAACUAUGGAUUGAGCGUAUGAGCAGCAUUUGUUGCUUACGCGUCUCGAGAAGUAGUUUGAACCUUAUCAUUUAGAGGAAGGAG